GGUGUAGCGCAGCUGGUAGCGCGCCUGCUUUGGGAGCAGGAUGUCGGGGGUUCAAGUCCCUUCACU
rnacentral:tRNA from 1 species